UCUAUUCCUUUCCACUCAGUGUGGAAGCUGCUUUCCUCUCCUGGAUUCCAUCUUUUUGGAUUCUCUCACUCAGUGGGAGAGUUAGCUGUUUCUUUCUCUCUCCUCCUGUUUUUCUCUCUCUCCUAUUUCUCUCUCUCUCCUUCUGUUUUUCUCUCUCUCUCUAAAUAAAUCACUUUUGAGUCCGGCAUUUACUGUGCACUGUGCCAUGUUCCAUGAUCCAUUGCCCACUCUCUCAUUUUUGAGAGGGCAGGAGGCCAAGAAUCUGGAGAAACAACCUCUCACGGGAGCUGAGGGCACCCUGAACCCCAAUAUUGUACUUUGAAGAACCAGCCAGGAGAGGGGUACAUCAGCAUAGGGGUACAGCCAAAGAAGAUUUCAAAUUGUGAGUAAAACUGGCCCCAUUCUGUCCCGACUCAUUGAGAACACCUGAAGUGGCCGAAGCCAGGCAGGGCAGUGGGGAACCUGAGCAGCGGCGCCUCAGAGGCAUGACCCACCCCCUCUUAAGCGAUGCGGACCAGCCAGAAUUAAAAGCGCAGUUUUUUUACCUUCAAGCUCUCUCUCUGCUUUCCAUCUCCUUCUCUAUCCUUUAGAUAUUAUCUCUAGGACCAAAACCUGAGGGAGCCUGUGGGGCAGAGCAGGCGAGCACGGCCCCAGGGCCUUUUGCUCCUUGCUGCAGUGAACAGCCCAGCCCCAAGGGCGAAACCGAGUGCGAGUGCGCAGCCGUGGGCUGGAGGAAACAGCGGGGAGGGGCGAGGUACAACCGGAGCCUGCGAGGGACCAGGGAGCGCGGCCUGGCGUAUGGCUCUGGCAGGCCUUUCCCGCACUCCGCAGUCCCAGGCGGCAGGGUAAAAAGACUCCUCAGGACAUUUGCCUUGCCCUCCAUGGGUCCCUGUGUGGCCAGUACCUCGGGAAGUGACCCAGGCGUGCAAGUGGUUUUGGCGGGGUCAACAUGGUGACUGAAAGCCGUGGAAGCAGAGGAACUCAGGGUGGCCCAGCAGCCUCAACCACGGCUUUUAAACUGACGCGGAUGACCAGCUCGUCCUUUCUUACUUGGGACCUUUGAGGUUUCAGCAUUGAAGAUCUCAUAUCCCGAGAAAAUCAUCACAGUGGGUCUUUCCUCUCCUACAUCCUGAAUAUUAUAAAGAAGAAGAGUAAUCCAUAAAAUUAAAAGUUAAAGGACAAGGAUGUAUGCACAAUUGUUCUUUUAGGACUCAGUUCAGCCCACAGAUGUCUCCACAGCUGCUCUCUAUUCCAAAGAGGAUUUUUUUUCCUUGGAAGCAGUCAUAUUAUGAGCUGACAAUCUGGAUGAUGACAUGACUUACACAAAAUUAUCGAGUGAAUCUGAUGCUUGGUAAGAGUUAGAUGCCUAAUUUUCUGAUGAAUAGGCCAUCAGUACCACAUUCAUUGUUCAUCAUUAGUUAAACUCAUCAGAGGUUAAAAUUACCAAAGAUCUCUGAUGUUAGAAUCUUUUAAAAAUAGAGAUUUACUGCUUAUUUUUUGGCUGUGUGUGUUUUUCUCUUUGUUUGUUUUUGUGGGAUAUAGUUAAAAAACUUGUGUAGACUAUUUAAGGAAUAGUGAAACAGUUUAUUUCCUUUUGGGAAUUAGUGUAGCAGUGAAGAUCUUUACAAUUAAAAAUCACAGGUAAAGUUAUUUUUUAAAUGUAAAGAAAAAUUUGUAUACCAAUAUUUUUAAGAGUGGGUAUUUUGAAUAUUUCAAUUUAAUUUGUUGGGAUAAAAGUAGACAAACAAGCCAGGCAAAUUAAACUUUAUAGAAAAAUGUUAUGCCUUAACAGUUAAAAGUAGAAUUGAAAUUUGCAAUAAAAACUAUGGGAAUAUUGAGGAUAUUGAAAUACUGGGGAUGAGUUACAAAUGUACUUUCAUUAUCAUGGAUAAUAAAUCAUAGACAUAUGUAUACAAAUGCAGAAAUUCUUGAUUUAGACUAGUCUGAUAUUAUAAAACAUGACUGUAUCUAUAUAGCUGACAGAGCAUGCAUUAAACUUACUGAUGAUUCAUUCAGAAACUAAUAUUUCUAAUAUUUAAGUUACAGAUUUGUUAGUAGACUUAGACCUUUUACAAAAAAUUUAACAUAUUCAUUAAUUUAGAUAUUAUAUAUAGUAUCAUCACAUGCUAAGCAAGCUGUUGAUAUUGCUUCUAUUUUUGUUGUUG